GAGAGAGAGAGAGUUGAGCUAGAAUACUAUCGGUAGCAAACGGGCUCUGUUGCUACCCAUUUGUUUUCGAUGUAGCCUCCAAAUCGACGAUCGACACCAUUGAACAUGAUCUAUACAACUUGAAGUAUUUAGAAACCAAAUUUCAAAUCUAUUUAACAUUAUUGACCUAAUGAUCAAAAGGUUUCAAAAUUUAUAACUUUAAUGGUCGAUAUGAGGCGUUUUCUUGUUUAACGGUAUAAAAAUACUCAAAUCAAUUGAAUUUUGGUUAGAAAAUUCUUUAAACUAUUUAGAACAAGAUCUAUACUCUCGAUCUUGAUUAUAAAAUUCAUAUCAUCACUUUACAAAUAAUUUUUAUAAUACUUUACAAACUAGUAUAUAG
rnacentral:lncRNA from 1 species